UUAGGAUGAUAGUUAAUUAUAACAUUUAAUUUGCAGUUAAAAAGUACUAAAUUUAGUUCAUCU
rnacentral:tRNA from 1 species